CUAACAAGAAUCCUGAAUGCUUAUAUACACAUGGAAUGACUGUGAGUGUGUGUGAGUGUGUGCGUGCGUGUGUGUGUGUGUGUGUGUGUGUGUGUGUGUGUGUGUGUGUGUG